rnacentral:rRNA from 1 species
AGUGAACGCUGGCGGUAGGCCUAACACAUGCAAGUCGAACGGCAGCACAGUAAGAGCUUGCUCUUACGGGUGGCGAGUGGCGGACGGGUGAGGAAUACAUCGGAAUCUACUUUUUCGUGGGGGAUAACGUAGGGAAACUUACGCUAAUACCGCAUACGACCUACGGGUGAAAGCAGGGGAUCUUCGGACCUUGCGCGAUUGAAUGAGCCGAUGUCGGAUUAGCUAGUUGGCGGGGUAAAGGCCCACCAAGGCGACGAUCCGUAGCUGGUCUGAGAGAAUGAUCAGCCACACUGGAACUGAGACACGGUCCAGACUCCUACGGGAGGCAGCAGUGGGGAAUAUUGGACAAUGGGCGCAAGCCUGAUCCAGCCAUACCGCGUGGGUGAAGAAGGCCUUCGGGUUGUAAAGCCCUUUUGUUGGGAAAGAAAAGCAGCAGGUUAAUACCCCGCUGUUCCGACGGUACCCAAAGAAUAAGCACCGGCUAACUUCGUG